rnacentral:tRNA from 1 species
AGCCCGGUAGCUCGUCAGGCUCAUAACCUGAAGGUCGUAGGUUCAAAUCCUACUCCCGCAA